UGGGGAAUUUUGGACAAUGGGCGAAAGCCUGAUCCAGCAAUGCCGCGUGUGUGAAGAAGGCCUUCGGGUUGUAAAGCACUUUUGUCCGGAAAGAAAUCCUUGGCUCUAAUACAGUCGGGGGAUGACGGUACCGGAAGAAUAAGCACCGGCUAACUACGUGCCAGCAGCCGCGGUAAUACGUGGGGUGCAAGCGUUAAUCGGAAUUACUGGGCGUAAAGCGUGCGCAGGCGGUUUGCUAAGACCGAUGUGAAAUCCCCGGGCUCAACCUGGGAACUGCAUUGGUGACUGGCAGGCUAGAGUAUGGCAGAGGGGGGUAGAAUUCCACGUGUAGCAGUGAAAUGCGUAGAGAUGUGGAGGAAUACCGAUGGCGAAGGCAGCCCCCUGGGCCAAUACUGACGCUCAUGCACGAAAGCGUGGGGAGCAAACAGGAUUCAGAUACCCUGGUAGUCCACGCCCUAAACGAUGUCAACUAGUUGUUGGGGAUUCAUUUCCUUAGUAACGUAGCUAACGCGUGAAGUUGACCGCCUGGGGAGUACGGUCGCAAGAUUAAAACUCAAAGGAAUUGACGGGGUCAUAGCUGUUUCCU
rnacentral:rRNA from 1 species